GGCGGCGUGCCUAAUACAUGCAAGUCGAGCGAAUCAUUGGGAGCUUGCUGCCAUUGGUUAGCGGCGGACGGCUGAGUAACACGUGGGCAACCUGCCUGUAAGACUGGGAUAACUUCGGGAAACCGGAGCUAAUACCGGAUAAUUCUUUUCCUCUCAUGAGGAAAAGCUGAAAGACGGUUUACGCUGUCACUUACAGAUGGGCCCGCGGCGCAUUAGCUAGUUGGUGAGGUAACGGCUCACCAAGGCGACGAUGCGUAGCCGACCUGAGAGGGUGAUCGGCCACACUGGGACUGAGACACGGCCCAGACUCCUACGGGAGGCAGCAGUAGGGAAUCUUCCACAAUGGACGAAAGUCUGAUGGAGCAACGCCGCGUGAGCGAUGAAGGCCUUCGGGUCGUAAAGCUCUGUUGUUAGGGAAGAACAAGUACCGGAGUAACUGCCGGUACCUUGACGGUACCUAACCAGAAAGCCACGGCUAACUACGUGCCAGCAGCCGCGGUAAUACGUAGGUGGCAAGCGUUGUCCGGAAUUAUUGGGCGUAAAGCGCGCGCAGGCGGUCCUUUAAGUCUGAUGUGAAAGCCCACGGCUCAACCGUGGAGGGCAUUGGAAACUGGGGGACU
rnacentral:rRNA from 1 species